GAUCCUGGCUCAGGAUGAACGCUGGCGGCGUGUCUAACACAUGCAAGUCGAACGAAGCACUGAGAGUUUGAGAUUUCGGUCAAGAACUUUCUUUGACUUAGUGGCGGACGGGUGAGUAAUGCGUGAGCAACCUGCCUUUCAGAGGGGGACGAACAGUUGGAAACGACUGCUAAUACCGCAUGAUAUAUUCGGAUGGCAUCGUCUGAAUAUCAAAGAUUUAU
rnacentral:rRNA from 1 species